rnacentral:rRNA from 1 species
UUUCGAAUCAUUCACAAUGGGCGAAAGCCUGAUGGUGCGACGCCGCGUGAGGAAUGAAGGUCUUCGGAUUGUAAACCUCUGUCACCGGGGAGAAAACGCUUUGAGUUAACAGCUCAAAGCCUGAUUUAACCCGGAGAGGAAGCAGUGGCUAACUCUGUGCCAGCAGCCGCGGUAAUACAGAGACUGCAAGCGUUAUUCGGAUUCACUGGGCGUAAAGGGUGCGCAGGCGGCCGUGUGUGUCAGGUGUGAAAUCCCGGGGCUUAACCCCGGAACUGCGCCUGAAACUACAUGGCUAGAGUAUUGGAGAGGGUAGCGGAAUUCACGGUGUAGCAGUGAAAUGCGUAGAUAUCGUGAGGAACACCAGAGGCGAAGGCGGCUACCUGGACAAUUACUGACGCUCAGGCACGAAAGCGUGGGGAGCAAAAGGGAUUAGAUACCCCCGUAGUCC